rnacentral:rRNA from 1 species
CUCGACCUAUUCUCAAACUUUAAAUGUGCAGACAAUCCAAUCAUACCUAUUCGGAUGGUUGGUUACAAACGCAUUAAGGCACCAAGUGGGCCUUCUUCGGUAAGCGGAGCAGGCGAUGCGGAAUGAACCGCUUAGGGAUAUGUGGCGUCAAAACUUUUCGGCUUAUUCUCGAUACGUGAAAAGGGUGUUGAUGGAUCUGGACAGUUGGACGGUGGCCAUGGAAGUCGGCACCCGCUAAGGAGUGU